AUAUGGAUGAGAUGAGAUCCCUGUGUUUUUUGUGGUGGAGUGAAAAAUUCAACAUAGUGCAUCACCUAUUUAAAACACCGUUUAAUAAACAUCUAAUAAUAUCUAUUGAUUGAUUGAAAGAGUUAACUGUUGGUCAGAUGAAGAAGAGAGGUGGGAGGUCGGUUGAAGAAGAGAAGGGGAGGAGGUCGGAUGAAUAAACCAAGCGAAGGAGGGAGGUGUGUCAUGUCUGUGAUGGCAGACGCAGGCCAUCACAGAGCGAGGCCCAUCUAUUUCGGAAAGGGCCCACAAACAGAAGACCGGGAGAUUUAUUUACAC
rnacentral:lncRNA from 1 species